rnacentral:rRNA from 1 species
CAGUAGCCGCGGGAAUACGUAGGGUGCAAGCGUUAAUCGGAAUUACUGGGCGUAAAGCGUGCGCAGGCGGUCCGCUAAGACAGAUGUGAAAUCCCCGGGCUUAACCUGGGAACUGCAUUUGUGACUGGCGGGCUAGAGUAUGGCAGAGGGGGGUAGAAUUCCACGUGUAGCAGUGAAAUGCGUAGAUAUGUGGAGGAACACCGAUGGCGAAGGCAGCCCCCUGGGCUAAGAUUGACGCUCAUGCACGAAAGCGUGGGGAGCAAACAGGAUUAGAUACCCGAGUAGUCCCUGUCUCUUAUAC